GCUGGGCACAGUGGCAUGUGCCUGUAAUCCCAGCUACUCAGGAGGCUGAGGUGGAAGAAUCGCUUGACCCUGGGAGACUGAGGUUGCAGUGAGCCGAAAUCGCACCACUGCACCCCAGCCUGGGUGACAGAGUGAGACUCCAUCUCAA
rnacentral:SRP_RNA from 1 species